rnacentral:rRNA from 1 species
AACGAACGCUGGCGGCAUGCCUAACACAUGCAAGUCGAACGAGACCUUCGGGUCUAGUGGCGCACGGGUGCGUAACGCGUGGGAACCUGCCCUUAGGUUCGGAAUAACUCCCCGAAAGGGGUGCUAAUACCGGAUAAUGUCUUCGGACCAAAGAUUUAUCGCCUUUGGAUGGGCCGGCGUUGGAUUAGCUAGUUGGUAGGGUAAAAGCCUACCAAGGCGACGAUCCAUAGCUGGUCUGAGAGGAUGAUCAGCCACACUGGGACUGAGACACGGCCCAGACUCCUACGGGAGGCAGCAGUGGGGGAUAUUGGACAAUGGGCGAAAUCCUGAUCCAGCAAUGCCGGGUGAGUGAUGAAGGCCUGAGGGUUGUAAAGCUCUUUUACCCGGGAUGAUAAUGACAGUACCGGGAGAAUAAGCUCCGGCUAACUCCGUG